AGUGAUUAAUGCCAUCUCCCUGUCGCCUGGGGAGAGGGUGAUGUUUGACUUUCUCGUACAGCUGCAGUUUGUGUGGUGAAGGUGCUCCCACAAUGGGGUUGGGAUGAGGCUGUCACUGGCUCGGCCAGCAUUUAUUUCUGCGUUUACCCAGAGGGCAGUUAAGAAUCAACCACGUUGCUAUAGGUCUGGAGUCCCAUGCAGACCAGACCAGAUACCAGUGAUCAGUGCCAAAGCCCCAUUGCCUGUGGAGA